UCCCUUGUAGCUAAAUUGGUAAAGAAUCUGCUUGCAGUGCAGAAGGCCCAGGUUUGAUCCCUGGGGUGAGAA
rnacentral:tRNA from 1 species